rnacentral:misc_RNA from 1 species
AACGCACCUUGCGCUCCUUGGUAUUCCUUGGAGCAUGCCUGUUUGAGAGUCUUAAAUAUCUCUGCUCUUAUUUUUUUUAAUUAAGAAAUAACGAGUCAGGUCCUUGGGCCUGCUUGCGGUUUGGUUACAAACACAAGCUUGCCUUAAAUGAAUUAGCUGAGCUUCAGCAGAGUUGUUAAGUAACAUUGAAAAUUCUCGUAAGAAGAAGCUUGCUCUCUAAUCUUUGUCGUCUUUUGUGGACGACAAAAUUUUCUAUUUUGGCCUCAAAUCAGGUAGGACUACCCGCUGAACUUAA